AGAUGCCAUGUUUUCACCUGAUAAACGCCAUGUAAACGCUUUUUUGAAAAAGUAUGUAGGCCUAUUGCUUAUACGUAAAAAACAGUUGAGACAACGCUGCAGAGUGCCGAGAUGAGAUGUCCAAUGGUG
rnacentral:lncRNA from 8 species